rnacentral:rRNA from 1 species
UAUUUAUUAGAUAACAGACCAAUAUUCCUCGUGUCUAUUGUGGUGACUCAUAGUAACUGAUCGGAUCGCAUGGCCUUGUGCCGCGACUAACCAUUCAAGUUUCUGACCCAUCAGCUUUCGAUGGUAGUGUAUUGGACUACCAUGGCUUUCACGGGUAACGGAGGAUUAGGGUUCGAUUCCGGAGAGGGAGCCUGAGAAACGGCUACCACAUCUAAGGAAGGCAGCAGGCGCGUAAAUUACCCAAUCCUGACUCAGGGAGGUAGUGACAAGAAAUAACGGGUCGGGGCAUUCGCCUCGGGAUUGCAAUGAAUCGAAUUUACACCCCUUAAUGAGGAUCAAUUGGAGGGCAAGUCUGGUGCCAGCAGCCGCGGUAAUUCCAGCUCCAAUAGCGUAUAUUAAAGUUGUUGCAGUUAAGAAGCUCGUAGUUUGAUUUCUGGACGGGCGCCAACACCCGCUUGUUUAGUGUGGAGGCGGCGCCCGCCCAUCCUUCUGUUAACGCCACCGGCAUUCGUUUGCUGGCGGCGGGCUCAGAUAUUUUACCUUGAGAAAAUUAGAGUGUUUCAGGCAGGCUUGCGC